GAUGAACGCUGGCGGCGUGCCUAAUACAUGCAAGUCGAGCGAACAGACGAGGAGCUUGCUCCUUUGACGUUAGCGGCGGACGGGUGAGUAACACGUGGAUAACCUACCUAUAAGACUGGGAUAACUUCGGGAAACCGGAGCUAAUACCGGAUAAUAUAUUGAACCGCAUGGUUCAAUAGUGAAAGACGGUUUUGCUGUCACUUAUAGAUGGAUCCGCGCCGCAUUAGCUAGUUGGUAAGGUAACGGCUUACCAAGGCAACGAUGCGUAGCCGACCUGAGAGGGUGAUCAGCCACACUGGAACUGAGACACGGUACAGACUCCUACGGGAGGCAGCAGUAGGGAAUCUUCCGCAAUGGGCGAAAGCUUGACGGAGCAACGCCGCGUGAGUGAUGAAGGUCUUCGGAUCGUAAAACUCUGUUAUUAGGGAAGAACAAAUGUGUAAGUAACUAUGCACGUCUUGACGGUACCUAAUCAGAAAGCCACGGCUAACUACGUG
rnacentral:rRNA from 1 species